UCCUGGGUAGCUCAGCUGGUAAGGAAUCUGCCUGCGAUGCAGGAGACCCUGGUUCAAUUCCUGGGUCAGGAA
rnacentral:tRNA from 1 species